rnacentral:rRNA from 1 species
GUAGGUGGCAAGCGUUGUCCGGAAUUAUUGGGCGUAAAGCGCGCGCAGGUGGGUUCUUUUAAGUCUGAUGUGAAAGACCCCCGGGCUCAACCGGGGAGGGUCAUUGGAAACUGGGGAACUUGAGUGCAGGAGAGGAAAGUGGAAUUCCACGUGUAGCGGUGAAAUGCGUAGAUAUGUGGAGGAACACCAGUGGCGAAGGCGACUUUCUGGCCUGUAACUGACACUGAGGCGCGAAAGCGUGGGGAGCAAACAGGAUUAGAUACCCUGGUAGUCCACGCCGUAAACGAUGAGUGCUAAGUGUUGGGGGGUUUCCGCCCCUCAGUGCUGCAGUUAACGCAUUAAGCACUCCGCCUGGGGAGUACGGUCGCAAAGACUG